rnacentral:lncRNA from 1 species
GUUUUCAAGUGGACAGGUGGAACUGUUCCAUCAUUAUCUAUUUUGUGUUCAUGGAGGGGUUUUGGAUUCUUUUGAGCCUUAUAGUAACACAUGGUGGCAGUGUCAGUAACCAGCUCACUGAGAAAGUACAUUUUUGGUGUGUGUGUGUGUGCGUGUCUGUGAGUCAGCAAAGAGCCCAAUCCACAAUUAAGCUUGAGAUCUGAGAAAUCUGAGAGAUCUGGGGGAUCAGUGAGAUCAAGGAAAUUACAGUACUACUUAUAGUUGGAUUAUAAGUGAGAAACUGUGUGAGAUGUACAUGAUCAGACUGAUUUUGAUAGAACUUUACCACAAGUGUUACUUCCUAAAUAUACAAGCACUGAGAUCAGUUAAUUAUGAACAUUAAACCGGAUAGUCGAACCCACCUCGUCUUAUCUUUUUCCUUUAACCUAUUUAACAAAAAGUGCAUAAAGAAGGCCAGGUAACAUUAACUCCAGAAAGUAAGUCCUGUUUUCAAUGAAAAAAAUCAAUAUGGCCUGGCAAUUAAUGUAAGGAUUCUCUUCAACGUAGAUUUACAGAAAGAAAAUAGUAGGGGGAUUUGCAUGCAAUUAGUCUGAGUUAAUAUGUGAUGGUCACUUCUUUAACACUGUUCAAUAUGUAUGCAAAAUAUUCAGCUUCUUUAUGAAAAGUAUGGCUUACAAAAAUCAUUUACCAC